rnacentral:rRNA from 1 species
CCAGACUCCUACGGGAGGCAGCAGUGAGGAAUAUUGGUCAAUGGCCGAGAGGCUGAACCAGCCAAGUCGCGUGAGGGAAGAAUGUCCUAAGGAUUGUAAACCUCUUUUGUCGGGGAGCAAAAAGGCUCUGCGGAGUCGUAUUGAGAGUACCCGAAGAAAAAGCAUCGGCUAACUCCGUGCCAGCAGCCGCGGUAAUACGGAGGAUGCGAGCGUUAUCCGGAUUUAUUGGGUUUAAAGGGUGCGUAGGCGGGAUGCCAAGUCAGCGGUAAAAAUGCGGUGCUCAACGCCGUCGAGCCGUUGAAACUGUCGGACUAGAGACGGCGAGAAGUACGCGGAAUGCGCGGUGUAGCGGUGAAAUGCAUAGAUAUCGCGCAGAACUCCGAUUGCGAAGGCAGCGUACCGGCGCCGGACUGACGCUGAGGCACGAAAGCGUGGGUAUCGAACAGGAUUAGAUACCCCAGUA